GAUGAACGCUAGCGGCAGGCUUAAUACAUGCAAGUCGUGGGGCAGCAUGACUGUAGCAAUACAGUUGAUGGCGACCGGCAAACGGGUGCGGAACACGUACACAACCUUCCUUUAAGUGGGGAAUAGCCCAGAGAAAUUUGGAUUAAUACCCCGUAACAUAUAGAAGUGGCAUCGCUUUUAUAUUAUAGCAGCAAUGCGCUUGAAGAUGGGUGUGUGGCUGCUUAGAUAGUUGGCGGGGUAACGGCCCACCAAGUCGACGAUCAGUAACUGGUGUGAGGGCUGGACUAGUCACACGGGCACUGAGACACGGGCCCGACUACUACGGAAGGCAGCAGUAAGGAAUAGUGGUCAAUGGACUCAAGACUGAACCAGCCAUGCCGCGUGGAGGAUGAAGGUCCUCUGGAUUGUAAACUUCUUUUAUUUGGGAAGAAAUGUACCUUUUCUUGGGUAGUUGACGGUACCAGAUGAAUAAGCACCGGCUAUCACCGUGCCAGCCGCCGUCGUAACAC
rnacentral:rRNA from 1 species